rnacentral:tRNA from 1 species
UGCUCGGAAGCUUAGUUGGUAAAGCGCUCGAUAGGCAUACAAGAGUCCUGAGUUCAAUUCCUAGCUGAGCAC